ncrna:unclassified sequences AdoCbl variant RNA
AUAUUGAAAUGCAUGGUGGGAAAUCAGUGUGGAAUUCAUUGGCUGUACCUGCAACCGUAAAGUCGGAGCGCCACCCAAUAU